rnacentral:lncRNA from 1 species
AUGAAAUACAUUCUUGGGGUUUUGAGACGUGAAGCCAGUAGGGCUGCUGCACUGGGAGCCCUCCUGGCCACAGGUGAGGAGCCUUGCCAUCUGCAAUACACAGUAGGCCAAUCAAGCUGGCCCUGUGUGAGGCAAGAUGGAAGGCCAGUUUCUUACAACCCAAUUCCAGAAGAUGCUGGAUGCUGAAGAGGAAGAAAGAUAAAGGAGGGUGAAAAUGAUUCUCUGAAUUUGGCUGGCAGAUUUUAGCUGAUAGAAAAACUCCAGGAUGCGAAGUUUUCAGAAGACGACACGAGAUACCUGGAAAGAAAGAAAGAAAUAAAACAAACAAAAAAUAAACA